GACGAACGCUGGCGGCGUGCUUAACACAUGCAAGUCGAACGGAAAGGCCCUGCGUUUGUGGGGUGCUCGAGUGGCGAACGGGUGAGUAACACGUGAGUAACCUGCCCUUGACUUUGGGAUAACUUCAGGAAACUGGGGCUAAUACCGGAUAGGAGCUCCUGCUGCAUGGUGGGGGUUGGAAAGUUCCGGCGGUGUGGGAUGGACUCGCGGCUUAUCAGCUUGUUGGUGGGGUAGGGGCUUACCAAGGCUUUGACGGGUAGCCGGCCUUAGAGGGUGACCGGCCACCUUGGGCCUGCGAUACGGCCCAGACUCCUACGGGAGGCAGCAGUGGGGAAUAUUGCACAAUGGGCGGAAGCCUGAUGCAGCAACGCCGCGUGCGGGAUGACGGCCUUCGGGUUGUAAACCGCUUUCGCCUGUGACGAAGCGUGAGUGACGGUAAUGGGUAAAGAAGCACCGGCUAACUACGUG
rnacentral:rRNA from 1 species